rnacentral:rRNA from 2 species
AUUAAUUUAUACCUAUAUUUAAUUAUUGGUUUAUGUGCCUUUUGCAUCAUGCUUACGUUAUGUUAGGAAAAAUUUCUUAUAUCGAAAAUUUUGGAUCUUGCUUAUAUUUAUUUAGACUGUAAUAUCAGGUAGAUAGGUUAAAAUUUAAGUAUGUUGUGAUAAAUUAAUCGUCAAAGUUUAUAUCUAUUUUACAGUUAAAAGGAUUUUAUUUUAGCUAUCUGGCGAUGAUGUCAAAUAGUCAAGUAUACUUUGAAUGAUUAGCUUUUUAAUAGGGUUAAAAUUACCUCUUUAUAAAAAUAAUGUUAUAAUUUAUUUAAUAUUGUUUAUAAGUUACUUUUGAUAACUGUGUUAAUAAAUGAUUGUUUAAUAUUAAUGCUUAAAUAAGUAAUAUUAAUAAUUGUAUUAUUUCUCAAUACCUGCCCGUCUGUUUAUUAAAAACAUUUCCAUAAGAAAAGUUUUAUGGUAGUACCUGCUCUAUGUAUAUUAAUAAAUGGCCGCAGUAUCUUGACUGUGCGAAGGUAGCAUAAUUAAUUGCCUUAUAAUUGAAGGCUUGUUUGAAUGGUUUGACGCGGUAGGAUUAAUAUGACAAUUUUAUUUGAAAUUAUUACAGAGGGCACAGAAACCUCUGAUAUUAAUUAGACGGAAAGACCCCGGGAUCUUUGUUUUUUGCUUGGGGCAAGUUGGAAUAUUUCAUUUUAAUUAAGACCCUCUUGGUAUAAUGAGAUAAGUUACCCCGGGGAUAACAGUAUUAUAGUCUAUAAGAGAUCUUAUCGAUUAGGCUGUUUGUUACCUCGAUGUUGACUUAGGUGUAAUCUUAGGCGCAGUAGUUUAAGAAUUAGGUCUGUUCGACCAUAUAAACCUCCAUGAGUUGAGUUAAGACCGGUGUAAGCCAGGUCGGUUCUUAUCUAUUAUUCUUGCUUAUUAGUACGAAAGGACCAUAAGCUUUUUUAUU